AUCCGCGUGCCGCGCUGUGGCGGCGGCUGUUCCGUGCGGUGGUGCCUUUCGCCGCGGCCGCCGCGGUGGCGGCGUUCCUCGCGCCGAUGUGGGUG
rnacentral:tRNA from 1 species